GUAGCUCAGCCUGGUAGAGCACUGUCUUCGGGAGGCAGGGGCCGGAGGUUCGAAUCCUCUC
rnacentral:tRNA from 1 species